rnacentral:lncRNA from 1 species
CUCUCUCAGAUCUUGUUUAUCUCAUUUUGUUCAGAAAUUAAGGUUUAUUGACAUAAAGUUAAAGGGUUUCAAAAAUUUCCUCUUCGGUCAUACUUGGAUCUCUGCCAUAUAUUUUUCUUUGACUCGAGUCAUACUCCUCCUACAUAUAAGAAAUAAAUGAGUUUUGAAAGACAAUGAAAUAAUUAAACACACACUGAUAUACACAGUAGUGUAUCUAGGAUUCUCCGGCAGGGGGGCAAGAUAUUCGCUGAAGGCGAAAAAUUUUUUUUGUACUAAUUAAAAAACCUAUACAAAUUUUGGCAUGACCUAUUCAUAUAAUUGAUUAUAAAAACUUAUAAAAAAUCAAUACAUUCAUUCCAUAAUUAAUAUUCAAAUUAAAAAUAAAUACAUUCAUUUAAUUAACAAUAAAAAUUUUAAAUACAUUUUACAUUACUUCAAUGUCCAACGACGAGGACACAUAUAAUUAAUAGCAUAUUCACUGUAAUUAUUGUGUACAUUUAGUACACCAAAAGUCUAGAACUGGUUCACAUUAUUGAUGAAGGAUAAUCAAUAUAACAUUCAUGAAUCCAAAUGAUCGAAUUCUAAAUAAAGCAAAUCUUCUUAGGUUUCAAUUUCCAGAAAUAUCAUAAGUUGGCAAAAAAGGAAGAACUACCUAAAGAAAAUAAAAUGAUUUAUAAGCGAUAAGAUAGAAGAAAUCAAAACAAUAUGGGCACUAGUAGAACCAAAAUGAUUAUCUGCAAAGAAAUUGCGAUGAAAUUAAAUCGAAUAAAAUGUCUAAGAACCAAAAAAAAAGAAUAAAUCGUUAAGAUUUUCAUCUCACCAAUAUCAUGCUAUACAUCGAUUUGCUUUCGUAGGUAUUAUAUAGUUUGGGUAAAAAAGGGAUGAUUAGAUAUGAUAAUGUGUCGUAAUAUUAAAGGAAAAAAAAAAUGUAAGCAGAGUUAUUGGGUUUCAUAGAUUUGUGAUCAAACUAUUUUAAUUUUUAAUUCCAAAUGAACAUAAAAAAAAUUAAUUUGGACUUUGGAGGUAGAUAAAAUCUGGCAAACCUGGUUGUGUCCAACGUUCCAGAGUCAAGACAUGGAGAAUAGUAGAAACAACAAACAAGAUCAACAAUUCAACAAAUAAAUACCAGAGAAUCCAACAAGUAGCAACGGAGGGAGAAGUGGAGAAGAGAUUCCCGGAGUCCGGAGAAGAGAGUCCCGAAGUGGAGAAGAUGGAUUUAGG